GAAGGCGGUGGUGCUCCCGCUGCCAGAUUCUCGUACCCAACCAACACCGACCGUCCAUUCCCUAAUCCCCAAACCCCAACCGGAUCCAAACCCAAUCAAAACCCGACCCGCUAAUCGCCCACUAAACCAUUCGUUCCCAGCCACCACGCGAAGCCCUAGACCACUCCCUCCCCUCUGUCGUCUCCACUCUCUAGAGCGAGAAGCAGCCCUCGACCACAACUGCCUCCACUCUCUCUCUCUCUCUCUCUCUGUCUGUCUACAAUUUUACGCAGAACUCCCUCAAAACCCUAACAAUUCCAUGAAAUGUGAGACGCUGCCAUGCCCUCCUCCGCUCUCCUGCGGGUCUCGCUCCGCUCCCGCGCUCGCCUGACCAUGUCCCUUACCUCCCUUCGACCUCUCCAUUUCUCUUCUCGAAACCCUAGGAACCCUAGAAACAAGAUGAUGAAGAGCGGGAUAUACGUGCCGCCGAUCCCGAGGCUGAGGUCGGUGAUAGCCAGCGCCAACGGCACGAUUCAUACUGCGAGGUCGGUGGAUUACGACUGGAGGGACGAGGGUUUGUCGUCGUACGUCAAGCGGCAGCAGAGUGCGAGCUAUGGGAGGUACGCUUACGAUGAUUACUCCGAGGAUGAUUCGGAUCGAGAUGUCGAGUCUUCGUCUGUGGCUUCGAAUAAGGGUGCCUCCACACUUGAUAAUGUUGAUGAGUGGAAGUGGAAAUUAAGUAUGCUUCUUCGUAAUGAACGUGAGCAAGAGGUAGUAUCCAGGGAAAGAAAGGACAGGCGUGACUACGAGCAAAUUGCUGCAGUAGCUGAGAGAAUGGGAUUGUACAGUCGCCAAUAUGCAAAAGUCAUUGUUUUUAGUAAGGUGCCACUGCCAAACUAUAGAUCAGAUCUUGAUGAUAAAAGACCUCAGAGGGAGGUUUCCAUUCCUACUGGAUUGCAAAGGGAAGUGGGUGCUUUACUUGGGGAUUAUCUUGCUCGAAAGCAGACAAACAGAGAAAGCUUUCCACAUCUUCCCUUUUCGAGGUCAAGUAGCACUGAUAGCUUUGCCAACGAUGAGGGACUCUUUGAGCAGCAGGACCCACAGACUCCUACUAGUACUGUUAUGGAGAAAAUCUUAAAGCGAAGAAGUUUACAACUGCGCAAUCAGCAACAAGCCUGGGAGGAAUCACCUGAGGGUCAAAGAAUGCUAGAAUUUCGCAGAAGUCUUCCUGCUUACAAGGAGAAACAAGCACUAUUAGAAGCCAUAUCCCGGAAUCAGGUAGUUGUCGUUUCAGGAGAAACUGGUUGCGGGAAGACAACCCAACUUCCUCAGUACAUUUUAGAAUCUGAGAUAGAUGCUGCUCGUGGAGCAACUUGCAGUAUCAUCUGUACUCAGCCUAGAAGAAUAUCUGCGAUGGCCGUCUCUGAAAGAGUAGCAGCUGAGCGAGGGGAGAAAUUGGGUGAAUCUGUUGGGUAUAAAGUUCGUCUGGAGGGUAUUAAAGGGAGGGAUACUCGCCUACUUUUCUGCACCACAGGAAUUUUAUUGAGGAGACUGCUGAUUGAUAGAAACUUGAAAGGUGUAACACAUGUUAUUGUAGAUGAGAUUCAUGAACGUGGCAUGAAUGAAGACUUUCUUCUUAUUGUCCUCAAGGAGCUUCUUCCUCGUCGUCCUGAAUUGAGGUUGGUUUUGAUGAGUGCAACUCUCAAUGCUGAGCUUUUUUCCUCCUACUUUCACGGGGCACCUAUGAUACACAUUCCUGGAUUUACUUAUCCAGUAAGAUCAAAUUUUCUGGAGAAUGUCCUUGAAAUAACUGGGCAUAGGCUGACCCCCUACAAUCAAAUUGAUGAUUAUGGACAAGAAAAAAGUUGGAAAAUGCAAAAGCAAGCACUUAGGAAAAGGAAAAGCCAAAUUGCUUCUGCCGUCGAAGAUGCACUAGAGACUGCUGACUUUAGAGAGUACGGUUCUAGAACUCGUGAUUCACUGUCAUGCUGGAAUCCUGAUUCGAUUGGUUUUAACUUGAUAGAAGCUGUUUUGUGCCAUAUAUGUCGAAAAGAGAGGCCUGGUGCAAUUUUAGUGUUUAUGACUGGAUGGGAUGACAUAAAUUCACUUAAAGAUCAACUCCUAGCAAAUCCUUUUCUUGGAGAUCCUUCCAAAGUUUUGCUUCUAGCAUGUCAUGGUUCCAUGGCUAGCUCGGAGCAGAGAUUGAUCUUCGACAAGCCAGAAGAUGGUGUGAGGAAAAUAGUUCUUGCAACUAAUAUGGCGGAAACAAGUAUUACAAUAAAUGAUGUAGUUUUCGUUGUCGACUGUGGAAAGGCAAAAGAGACAUCUUAUGAUGCUUUGAAUAAUACCCCUUGUUUGCUCCCAACUUGGAUCUCUAAGGCUUCUGCUCGGCAGAGAAGAGGGAGAGCUGGUCGUGUUCAGCCUGGAGAAUGUUAUCAUCUCUAUCCAAGAUGCGUGUAUGAUGCCUUCACAGAUUACCAAUUACCAGAACUUCUAAGGACGCCUCUACAAUCUCUCUGUCUGCAAAUUAAGAGUCUAAGGCUUGGUAGCAUCUCUGAUUUCCUAUCUAGGGCUUUGCAAUCACCAGAACCCUUAUCGAUACAAAAUGCCAUCGAGUAUUUGAAAGUUAUUGGGGCCUUGGAUGAUAAGGAAGAGUUAACUGUUUUAGGACGAUAUUUGUCAAUGCUUCCUGUUGAGCCAAAACUUGGAAAAAUGCUCAUUUAUGGUGCUAUAUUCAACUGCCUCGAUCCUAUAUUGACUGUUGUUGCUGGUCUAAGUGUCAGAGAUCCAUUUUUGACACCGUUUGACAAAAGGGAUCUUGCAGACUCUGCAAAAUCUCAAUUUUCUUGUCGAGAUUAUAGUGAUCAUCUUGCACUUGUUCGAGCUUAUGAAGGUUGGAAGGAUGCUGAAAGAGAGCAUUCUGGUUAUGAGUACUGCUGGAAGAAUUUUCUUUCUGCACAAACAUUAAAGGCUAUUGAUUCUCUGAGGAAACAAUUUAUUUUUCUGCUUAAGGAUACUGGUUUGGUUGAUGAAAAUUUUAGCACGUGUAACAAGUGGAGUCGAGAUGAGAACCUCAUUCGUGCAGUCAUAUGUGCGGGUUUGUAUCCUGGUAUCUGUUCAGUCGUGAACAAGGAGAAGUCAAUAGCUUUGAAGACAAUGGAAGAUGGUCAAGUAAUGCUAUAUUCUAAUUCGGUCAAUGGUCGGGAGGCUAGAAUUCCUUAUCCAUGGCUAGUGUUUAAUGAGAAAGUGAAGGUCAAUUCAGUUUUCCUUCGCGACUCAACAGCAGUAUCUGAUACUGUGCUGCUUCUCUUUGGAGGAAACAUCACACAAGGAGGACUCGAUGGUCACUUGAAAAUGUUGGGGGGUUACUUGGAGUUCUUUAUGAGACCUGAUCUGGCAUCAACAUAUCUAGGCCUCAAGAGAGAACUUGAUGAGCUACUCCAUAACAAACUUCUAAACCCUAGAAUGGACAUCCAAACUAGCGAGGAGCUCCUAGCUGCUGUCCGUUUACUCGUCACAGAGGACCCAUGCAGUGGUCGCUUUGUAUAUGGUCGGCAACAACUAACACCCAAGAAAACCAAAUCCUUGCUCUCAGCCAAAUCCAGCGGCGGCGGUGGAGGUGACAACUCCAAGAGCCAGCUCCAGACUCUUCUAACAAGAGCAGGACAUGAUAACCCCAUUUACAAAACAAAGCAGCUCAAGAACAAUCAGUUCAGAGCCACUGUUGAGUUCAAUGGGAUGCAAUUUGUCGGACAACCUUGCAGCAAUAAGAAACUUGCAGAAAAGGAUGCUGCAGCCGAGGCAUUGGAAUGGUUAAUGGGCGGAAACUCAUCAGGAUCUAGAGGCAUUGAUGCAAUGUCCAUGCUGCUUAAAAAGAGCAAAAACAAGCAUCACAGAAGAGUCUAGCCUAACAAUUUCCUUUUAUAUUCACAUCUCCGCAUUGUAAUUCUUUUGCUUUCCAGCCCGCAAUUUACAGGGUUCGGAGAAUCAGCAAUCAGAUAAGGAAAGAGCAAUGAUCCAGAUAGAAACGUAAUACCAGCAUACUAUUGUAUCAUGAUGUGAUAGAGUACAAGCAAAGCAAUGCUGGAUUGGGAACCAGGUACCCAGGGUGAGUGCUGUAUCUUUCCUUGUACGACAUCUCCGGUUAAGUUCUUGAGUUCCAGAGUUUUUCCCCCCCUUUUUCCAAAUAAAAUUGCAGUUUUAACAGACUUGGCUCAGGGGGACAGGGUCUGUGUCUCUCACGUGCUUGUGUUCAGCUCAGCUGUACAGUAUCUCGGUCGGACUACGGGUGUUUGACCCAGAUGAGCCCGGAUCAAGAUAUGGGUCCUCAAUGGAAAAAUCACAAGGGAAGGACACUGCGACAAGUGUCCAACACAGAUUUUAAAGUCGGCGAUUGCGGUGAUGUUGCGUUCUAGUUGAUAUUAUUACGGGUCGAUGUUAUUACGGGUGGUUGCAUUGAUAUUGUACACUGAUUAUUUCAGAGCUACCAGUGUUACUAUGUUAGCCCUCUUAUAGGAUUCCUUACAUGAUAUUGUUGACUGGUCAAUAUCUUACUCGAUGUGGGGCCUGGUCAGCUUGCUGGUCCAGGCUGUUGAUGA